AGGCACAAGAAAUUUGUUUCCUGAGGAAAGGCUAGAAAAGUCCCUUAUUUGAAAAAUUUAAACUUCCACAAAAGGUGUCACAAUGAUCCUCUAAAAGGCUACGUUGAUAUCCAGUGAGAGGCCUGCCCAGACUCAAGCCCAGUACCUGUAUUGAUUCAAGUACCCUCUGAGGCCAGGGAGGGGUCAUCACAGAGUUGCUCUGAAAGGUAGGCUUUGGUAAGGAGCAAGAUUUAUCUUGAAUCCUGGUCCCAUAUUGACUGUGUGACCUUGGCCUAGUUAUUUAAUCUUUAUGAGCCUGUGUUCUCAUCUAUAAAAUUGGGGCAGAAAUACCUGGCAGAAAUUAUACGACACUGUGAAUAGAAAAUGCAGCACUGUACUUGGUACAUAGAAGUUAAUCAAUAAAUAAAAAACUGCAAUUUCCUGGCUCA
rnacentral:lncRNA from 1 species